CCCAUAACCCCAUAACCCACCCCAUAACCCCCCAGCUGACCCCGUAACCCCCCAGCUGACCCUAUAACCCCCCCAUAACCCCACAGCUCUGUGCUCCUCGUUGGCCCCCGUUGGCUUCCAGCCCUUUUACUCCACCAUCACCUCCCAUAACCCCACUGUCCCCCCUGACCCCAUAACCCCAUAACCCACCCCAUAACCCCCCAGCUGACCCCGUAACCCCCCAGCUGACCCUAUAACCGCCCUAUAACCCCACAGCUCUGUGCUCCUCGUUGGCCCCCGUUGGCUUCCAGCCCUUUUACUACGCCGUCACUUCGGGCCCCACCGUGCGCUGCGUCACCGCCUGCGCCCCCAACACCGCCCACACCAUCGACUGCAACAGCGGCCACUGCAGGGUGUCCACCGCCGGCCCACACUGCCAGUGUUGGGACGGCGCCCUCUAUUGGUACGCGGGGCAGCGCUGCACGGGACGGGUCAGCAAAGUGGGCUUCGGGCUGGGACUGCUGGCGGCCCUUCUGCUGCUGCUCUGCGCCGCACUCACAGCGCUGCUGCUCAGGAGGAGGGCGAGGUGUGGGGUUAUGGGGUCUGUGGGGUUAUUAUGGGGUCUGUGGGGUUAUGGGGUGGGAGGUUAUGGGGUUGGUAUGGGGUUAUGGGGCUGGGACUGCUGGCGGCCCUUCUGCUGCUGCUCUGUGCUGCUCUCACAGCGCUGCUGCUCAGGAGGAGGGCGAGGUGUGGGGUUAUGGGGUCUGUGGGGUUGGUAUGGGGUCUGUGG
ensembl:lncRNA